CCUACGGGUGGCAGCAGUGAGGAAUAUUGGUCAAUGGACGCAAGUCUGAACCAGCCAUGCCGCGUGCAGGAAGACGGCUCUAUGAGUUGUAAACUGCUUUUGUACGAGGGUAAACGCAGAUACGCGUAUCUGUCUGAAAGUAUCGUACGAAUAAGGAUCGGCUAACUCCGUGCCAGCAGCCGCGGUAAUACGGAGGAGUCAAGCGUUAUCCGGAUUUAUUGGGUUUAAGGGGUGCGUAGGCGGUCGGAUAAGUUAGAGGUGAAAUCCCGAGGCUCAACUUCGGAAUUGCCUCUGAUACUGUUCGGCUAGAGAGUAGUUGCGGUAGGCGGAAUGUAUGGUGUAGCUGUGAAAUGCUUAGAGAUCAUACAGAACACCAAUUGCGAAGGCAGCUUACCAAGCUACUUCUGACGUUGAGGCACGAAAGCGUGGGGAGCAAACAGGAUUAGAUACCCCAGUAGUC
rnacentral:rRNA from 1 species